rnacentral:rRNA from 1 species
CCCUUAGAUGUUCUGGGCCGCACGCGCGCUACAAUGAUGAAUUCAACGAGUUUAUAACCUUGGUUGAAAAGCCUGGGUAAUCUUUUGAACUUUCGUCGUGAUGGGGCUAGACCCUUGCAAUUAUUGGUCUCCAACGAGGAAUUCCUAGUAAACGCAAGUCAUCAGCUUGCAUUGAUUACGUCCCUGCCCUUUGUACACACCGCCCGUCGCACCUACCGAUUGAAUGGUCCGGUGAAAUCUUCGGAUUGAGACUUUGAUUUCUUCACGGAAAACGUUGUUUUAGAAAGUUGAUUAAACCUUACCAUUUAGAGGAAGGUGAAGUCGUAACA